GUAGGGGGGGCGAGCGUUGUCCGGAUUAUUGGGCGUAAAGAGCUCGUAGGCGGGCUUGGCAAGUCGGGCCGUGAAAGUCCGAGGGCUCAACCUCGGAAAGCCGGUCGAAACUGCCAUGGCUAGGGUCCCGGUAGAGGAGAGUGGAAUUCCCGGUGUAGCGGUGAAAUGCGCAGAUAUCGGGAGGAACACCAGUAGCGAAGGCGGCUCUCUGGGCCGGUACCGACGCUGAGGAGCGAAAGCGUGGGGAGCAAACAGGAUUAGAUACCCUGGUAGUCCACGCCGUAAACGUUGGGCACUAGGUGUGGCGAGUUAUAUCAACGCUUGCCGUGCCGUAGCUAACGCAUUAAGUGCCCCGCCUGGGGAGUACGGUCGCAAGGCUA
rnacentral:rRNA from 1 species